rnacentral:rRNA from 1 species
AUUGAACGCUGGCGGCAUGCCUUACACAUGCAAGUCGAACGGUAACGGGCCUUCGGGUGCCGACGAGUGGCGAACGGGUGAGUAAUACAUCGGAACGUGCCCGAUCGUGGGGGAUAACGAGGCGAAAGCUUUGCUAAUACCGCAUACGAUCUACGGAUGAAAGCAGGGGACCGCAAGGCCUUGCGCGGACGGAGCGGCCGAUGGCAGAUUAGGUAGUUGGUGGGAUAAAAGCUUACCAAGCCGACGAUCUGUAGCUGGUCUGAGAGGAUGAUCAGCCUCACUGGGACUGAGACACGGCCCAGACUCCUACGGGAGGCAGCAGUGGGGAAUUUUGGACAAUGGGCGCAAGCCUGAUCCAGCCAUGCCGCGUGCAGGAUGAAGGCCUUCGGGUUGUAAACUGCUUUUGUACGGAACGAAAAGCCUUCUUUUAAUACAGGAGGGUCAUGACGGUACCGUAAGAAUAAGCACCGGCUAACUACGUG